AAAAUGGCUAUAUGAUGACAGAAAAAUACAGCCUACACGAAGGAUUUUUACAAAGUGACUGUGUGUUGUUCUGCUAUGCAGCAUACACCUUGAAAACGAUGGAUGCAAACUGUGCGUUCUGUUCCCCAGACAGGUGUAUAAACAACAGCUUAAGUAACAGUUGCCUUUCAAUACAUUUUGGCUCUUGUUUGACGGUAUUUGGGUCGGAAAAGGGCGUCACAGUGGAUGAAAAACUGAGAUGGAGACCUCCUGUGACGGUCUGUUCACCUACACGCUAGAGGCAGGUACAUAGGGAAGAAUAAAGACAAGCCUCUAACAAUGAGAAUUUUGGAUAAGAUUUGUAUGUUCAUAUGUAGAGCUUUGACCUUGAGGUGACUGUGUGGCUGAAAGCUCCUUGAGUUACAGUUUGUUGCUGAACAAAUUACCUCCUUACAUUUCCUUGACAGUCUAAGCUCCUCACGGUUAGUUGGUCGAGUGAUGUUUUUUCGAAAUGUAACAGCCUCUGCAUUUGGGUCAACUUAUUUAAUCUGUGAAGUGACAAAGGUGGACUACUUUGA